CUCCUUUCCUCCCUUCUCUUCCAAGCCGCCCUAGACCUCAACCAACCACCAAAGAAGCAUCUUGGAGCUUGGUCUAAAAAGUACACAUAGACAGUUGAGAGCCUUUCAUAUGCAUAAGCAAGGCAAGUCACAAACCUUACUAUUGAUUUACCAUUGACAAGUGGACGGUGACCUUGUAUCCGACGAUCGACGGUGUAUGAUGGGUGAACCAGGGUCCAAGAAAGGAAUGAAUCUAGCAUGGGGGUCACUUUUGGAAGCAGCUCGGUAGAGGAGCUAGGCUACCCCAGCCCUUUCAAUUAUAUAUGGAACAAAAAUAAGUAGCUCAGGACUAGGAUGGGCAUGUAAUCAAAACAGCUUUUGAUGGGUGAAUAUGUAUGCGUAUGUGUUGCUUUUAUUUACUUGUCUUGCAUGUGUCUUGCCUGGCUUCCAUGUGUGUUUGUAUGGGAUUAUUUAUGAUCACUUCCGCAUGUGUUUCACUAAAGAUAAAAGACU